rnacentral:rRNA from 1 species
UCACUUGUGGGGGGAUUAGUGGCGAACGGGUGAGUAACACGUGAGUAACCUGCCCUUGACUCUGGGAUAAGCCUGGGAAACCGGGUCUAAUACUGGAUACGACCUUCUGGCGCAUGCCAUGUUGGUGGAAAGCUUUUGUGGUUUUGGAUGGACUCGCGGCCUAUCAGCUUGUUGGUGGGGUAAUGGCCUACCAAGGCGACGACGGGUAGCCGGCCUGAGAGGGUGACCGGCCACACUGGGACUGAGACACGGCCCAGACUCCUACGGGAGGCAGCAGUGGGGAAUAUUGCACAAUGGGCGCAAGCCUGAUGCAGCGACGCCGCGUGAGGGAUGAAGGCCUUCGGGUUGUAAACCUCUUUCAGUAGGGAAGAAGCUGGCCUUUUGGGUUGGUGACGGUACCUGCAGAAGAAGCGCCGGCUAACUACGUGCCAGCAGCCGCGGUAAUACGUAGGGCGCAAGCGUUAUCCGGAAUUAUUGGGCGUAAAGAGCUCGUAGGCGGUUUGUCGCGUCUGCCGUGAAAGUCCGGGGCUUAACUCCGGAUCUGCGGUGGGUACGGGCAGACUAGAGUGCAGUAGGGGAGACUGGAAUUCCUGGUGUAGCGGUGAAAUGCGCAGAUAUCAGGAGGAACACCGAUGGCGAAGGCAGGUCUCUGGGCUGUAACUGACGCUGAGGAGCGAAAGCAUGGGGAGCGAACAGGAUUAGAUACCCUGGUAGUCCAUGCCGUAAACGUUGGGCACUAGGUGU